GUGACUGCCGGUGCAAGCCGGAGGAAGGUGGGGAUGACGUCAAAUCAUCAUGCCCCUUAUGACCUGGGCUACACACGUGCUACAAUGGAUAGUACAAAGGGUCGCGAAGCCGCGAGGUGGAGCUAAUCCCAUAAAACUAUUCUCAGUUCGGAUUGUAGGCUGCAACUCGCCUACAUGAAGCCGGAAUCGCUAGUAAUCGUGGAUCAGCA
rnacentral:rRNA from 1 species